rnacentral:misc_RNA from 1 species
GAAAUGCGAUAAGUAAUGUGAAUUGCAGAAUUCAGUGAAUCAUCGAAUCUUUGAACGCACAUUGCGCCCGCCAGCACUCUGGCGGGCAUGCCUGUUCGAGCGUCAUUUCAACCCUCAGAACCCCUUGCGGGAUCUGGCGUUGGGGAUUGGCAUCCAGCCAGCCCCGAAAUCUAGUGGCGGUCCCUCCGCGACCUCCCCUGUGCAGUAGCGAUACCUCGCAGCGGGACAGCGGUCUGACCACGCCGUAAAACCCCCAACUUCUCAAGGUUGACCUCGAAUCAGGUAGGAAUACACGCUGAACUUAAGC